rnacentral:tRNA from 1 species
GUCUGUGUGGCUCAGUGGAUAGAGCACUGGACUUGGAAUCAGGAAAGAUAUGAGUUCAAAUCUAGCCUCAUACA